GGGCCUCUAGCUCAUGCCUGGUUAGAGCAGCGGACUCAUAAUCCGUCGGUCGCUGGUUCAAGUCCAGCAGGGCCCA
rnacentral:tRNA from 1 species